CUCAAAUAAAGAAGUUAAUCUACACGCUUCUAAAAUAUAUAAAAUAUCCACGCUUUAUUGCAUUUAUUUUUUAAUUAAAUUAUCGGCUUCAGAACACAGUUGUUCACUUGAAACACUCAUAGCCGACACUGACUAAAUGAGAUUACGAAAUCUGACGAUGAGGCUUAUUAACACUUUCGAUCCCUGCAGAUACAAUCGAAUAAACCUUAUACGUUAUAACCAAACAAAAAUAUAUCAAACAUUCUUAAAUAUACAAAAUUUUCGUGUACCUCUAACUUAACCUCUAAUAUUAAAUCUACUUGUCACUCUCAUGUCUCUCCAUUUCGUAUAUUUUCAUAUUUAUUGCAAAAUUUGCGGUUUUAAAACACAUGCUCUUCUGAGCUCAAAACGCGAAGGAUCAAAUGCGUACUAUGACGCAUGCGUUGUACGAUCGGUUUAUUUCGAAUAUCGAUCGAUCUAAUCGAUCGAGCAUAACCUGCAAGACAAAGCUUACCAUGCGGUCGUAAUGCACAUUUCGUUCUUUAUGAUUUCAUACUCAGUUAUUUUAAUUGUUGAAUAUAUUAUUAUUGAAACGAAUGAAUAUUAGAUCAAUGCAAUGUGGACUGAGGUUAGGUUGACAGCAUGAUUAUGAAGAUUGCGAAAGGCAGGUGAACGAGUGUGGUUAAAAGUCUGAAAGCAAACUGAUUCGUACGAUGAGAUUACUCGCCAUUAUCGAGCUCCGUAUUCGGAAAACUAGAUAGUGAUACAGGCGUGCAUACCAUUCGUGUAAGACUUCCUGGUAUCUUAGACACGAUUACGUAAUUCGAACUUCGAUUCGUUGUCGUUCGAACAGAAACGAUUUAAUUUAAAAUCGAUUAACGCUUAACUGGAAAAUGUCUACAUUUUUAACAUGCUUCGGAUUCGGUAUGUUACAGAGAUUCUAAUGGUAUCGGUCUUGAUUUACUGGUAGAUUGUACGUUGAUUAGCAAAUCGAGUCGAAUGUUAAAAUAUGGAAUAUUUAAUGAUGGUUAGAAGUUAGUGAGCGGUGAAGUUAUGAUGUUCGAGCGUGGGAAUUUCAUGUAUUGCAAGUCUGGUUGAUUACGGAUUUGAGAAAUUGAGAAUUUAACACUAAACCUACUGCAAUGCACACUUACUCUGAAAUUAAGAAUAAAGUUGAAAAAUAAAUAAAUUAAUGAUAAAACAUAAAUUAAUAUAUACAUUAAUUCUUUAUCU